CCGGCCCCCCAGGAACCAUGGCAGCACCAGCUGCCACCCUGGCUGGCACGGAGGGCUGAGGGGGGCGGCCCGAGCCCGGCUCUGGCCACGCCAGGAUCUGCCCUCCCACCCUGACCCCCUUCCUGCCUGGAAUAAAUUGGAAUACAAAUCAGAGGGAAACGCUCUCCUCUGUUUGAACAAAUUGCUAUGGAUUCCUCCCUGUCUCAGGCUCUGCAGAGAGGAGGCCUGGUCUCCCAGGGCCAGAGACUGUGCCCGCCUCCACCCUGGCUGUGAAUUCCGCGAGGCUGGCAAUGCCCGGAGGACCUCAGAGUGCUGGUCUGUCCUCAUUGAUCCCCAGCCUUGCCUUCUGCCACCACGAGGCCCCUCAAUCCUUCAGAGACCCUGACUUCUAUCAGGAAAGUCCUGGGGAAAUCGACAGGCGGGGGCUCUGGCCACGGGAACCUGGGCCCCGGGGGGAGGGCCUCAGAGCAGCCCACCGGGAGGAGCCUCCCCUGGUGACCUGCGGACAGCCUCCCCUCUCGGCCUUCUCUGCAUCCACCCUGGGGCCUUCCAGGAAGGAGAGAAGCCAGGCCUCGCCCCAGCACAGGACUCCAGCUUGCCCGGGUGCUGAUGCGUUUGGCAGAAGGCCUCUAUUGCCAGAGGGAAACGGAGGCCCUGGAGAGGAGGCCCUGGGCAGGAAGCAGCUUGAGGGCAGCCUGCGUUCUUCGGACCCUGGCCAGGCCGUGCCAACCCAGGGCAGCAGCAGGACUUGACAAGGUGUGGCUAAGUCCUCAAAGCUGGCUCCAAACUUGCAAUCCUCCUGCCUCAGCUUCCCAAGUAGCUUGAAUUACAAGCUGGAGCCAUCACACCACAUGCUCACUUAAAUUCUUGAAAUCUCCGUUUCCUCACCUGGAGACAACAGGACGCCCUGUGCUGACCUCUCAGAAUGCCUUUGGAACCAAAGGUAAAAGGCUGAGACAAUGCUUGGCGGGAGGUAUUUCCACACGGUAAGGAAUUAUCACAACAAAUGACCUUCCCCCAAAGGUUCCUGCCUCUGAGCACUAAAAGAUGACCAAAAGAAUCAUCACCGAAUGCUUGGUGGCAUGUCAAUGAGCUUUACUUUCUUAUACUUUUUUGGUAUUCUUUGAUUGUUUUGCAAAGAACAUGUGUUAUUCAUAGACUUAA